AUUGAACGCUGGCGGCAGGCCUAACACAUGCAAGUCGAGCGAGCGGCGGGCGGGUGAGUAAUGUAUGGGGCCUGCCCGAUAGAGGGGGAUAAAUACUGGAACCGGUGGCUAAUACCGCAUACUAUCGGAUGACCCAUAUGGGAUUAGCUAGUAGGUGGGGUAAAGGCUCACCUAGGCGACGAUCUCUAGCUGUGCUGAGAGGAUGAUCAGCAACCCUGGGACGAAGACACGGCCAGGACUCCUACGGAGGCAGCAGUGGGGAAUAUGGCACAAUGGGCGAAAGCCUGAUGAAGCCAUGCGGCGUGUAUGAAGAAGGCCUUAGGGUUGUAAAGUACUUUCAGCGGGGAGGCGUUACCCGCAGAAGAAGCACCGGCUAACUCCGUGCCAGCAGCCGCGGUAAUUC
rnacentral:rRNA from 1 species